GCCCUCGUGGCGCAAUGGAUAGCGCAGCGGCCUUCUAAUCCGCAGGUUGCAGGUUCGAGUCCUGCCGGGGGCACCA
rnacentral:tRNA from 1 species